rnacentral:lncRNA from 1 species
UAACCUUAUCACCUUUCUGUAAUUCCACUUUCCUGAAUAAUAAAAGGGACCUUUUACUUAAUCAGUCAUGUUACUCUAUGAAUCCACAAAUCUCUCCGUCAGUUUCACAGCUAUUUACACCUUGAGCUUCAGGAAGGAACAUACGCAUUUGGAUACCCACUGGAGAUGUGAGGAGGGCGGGGAGUCCCCAGCCCUGUGCCUCCUGGAAAUCACGACAGCUGUCACUGGGGCUCAGCUCUCUCCCUCCAGGAAGCGGAGAUGAAACUCUCCCCGACAGCAGCUCCCUGGGGGAAGCCAGCUGCAAGGGAGGGAGAAGAAGCCUUGGUUCCAUUACAUAUCCAGAAACAAGACAAUAAUCCAGGGAGGUUCCAGAUACGGAGGCGUAGGGAAGAAGAGGUGGGGAAGUUGGGAGGGCUUUUUAUAUCCUACAAAGGACCUUCAUUUUUUCAAGUAGGCAAUGAGACGCAUCAAAGGAUUUUAAGCCCAGGCAUAAUGUGAUCAGAUUUAUGUUUUAGGGAGAUCUCUUCUCAGCCUCAUGAAGGAAGGAUUGGAGCAAGGAGAGUCUGUGGACAUGGAGGCAUUUGAAGGUGCUGGGAAGAGAUGGACUCAUAUUUAUGAGCAUCUGCAAUGUGCUAGACACAGGGUUUGGCUCUUCAAAUAAGUUAUUGUAUUUAAUGUUCACAGCAAGUGUAUGAGGUAGGAAUUACAAUUCUCAUUUAAGAGAUGAGGCUAAAUAACUUGCCCCAAAUCACCCAACUAGGAGGUUGUCGACCUAAGCUUUGAUUCCACUCUGUCUGAUUCCAAAGCUGCAGCUCUUUUCUUUCCAUUUGAGGGGAUGAUGAGGGUCUGAAUUCUGCCGUCAGCAACACUGAAGAGGCAUC